rnacentral:tRNA from 1 species
AUUCUUUUAGUAUCAAAUAGUACGACUGACUUCCAAUCAGUAAGUUUUGGUUACACCCAAGGAAGAAUA